rnacentral:rRNA from 1 species
GAUAAACGCUGGCGGCGCACAUAAGACAUGCAAGUCGAACGAACUUAAUUUUAAAGUUUACUUUAAAAAGCGGUUAGUGGCGGACUGGUGAGUAACGCGUAAGCCAUCUGCCUAUCAGAGGGGAAUAACAGCGAGAAAUCACUGCUAAUACCGCAUAAGCUGUGAGUAUCACCUGAUACAAACCGAAAAGAAGUAAUUCGCUGAUAGAUGAGCUUGCGUUUGAUUAGUUAGUUGGUGAGGUAACGGCCCCCCCAGACGAUGAUCCGUAGCCGGACUGAGAGGUUGAACGGCCACAUUGGGACUGAGAUACGGCCCCGACUCCUACGGGAGGCAGCCGUUGGGAAUAUUGCGCAAUGGAGGAAACUUUGACGCAGGGACGCCGCGUGCCGGAAGAAGGUUUUUGGAUUGUAAACUGCUUUAGACAGGGACGAAAAAAAAGACGGUACCUGUAGAAUAAGCUCCGGCUAACUACGUG